rnacentral:lncRNA from 1 species
CAAAGCCUACAAAUCUCCCUGAUCUAUAUCAGCACAACAAAUUAAAGGGUGGCUAAUUUUUGCCUUUUUAAGGAAUUUCUUUUGGACGUGACUUGUUCUUGCUCUGGUUUAAUCAUACCAGCUCUCUGUAGGAAAAAGAAAGAGCAGUGGUUCUGCUCCCAGUGAGAGCAAAGCACCAACAUCGAGGUGGGGACAGACAGAGGUUGUCAUAGUCAGUUCAGUCGUUCCUGAGCCUCACUGCCAACAUGGAGGGGAUUCACACUACGCAGGGACUGGGAUGGUUCUGGGCACACCUUUGAGGACAAUUCCGGAGUCACCCUCACAUCCAGGAACUGAGUGAUGCAGACUGGGGAAUAAUUCUAAGAGGUUUUGAGGAAGAGAGAAAGUAACACGCAAGGAGCCGGCAGUGAGAGGUCACGGUGUUCCUGGCAAGCAAUCUGAGAGCUGCUCCAGGGUCACUGGAAGCAGUGAGUGGGAGGCGCAGGGGAGCUGCUCUGCAGGUGGAGAGCACAAGUGUGCCUUUCUGGAAGCCAAGAUAUGCAAACCUUAUUUAUGUUCCUUUGUGAUUAUCAGAAAAUUGCAACACCCAGCCAAACCCAACCCAGUGUCUGAGAGCACUUUCCAAACGCUCCCUGAGCGCAGCCAUUGGGGCUGUGCCCACUGCCCUGGGCAGCUGUUCUGUGCCCACCGCCCCCUGGUGCAGACCCUUCCCCCAAUCCCCUCCCCUCACACAGCUCCACGCCGUUCCCUCGGGCUCCGUCGCUGUCACAGAGCAGAGCUCAGCGCUGCCCCUCUGCUCCCUGUGAGGAGCCGUGGGCCGCCAUGAGGGCUGCCCUCAGCCUGCUCUGCUCCG